UACGGGGGGGAGCAAGCGUUGUUCGGAUUUACUGGGCGUAAAGGGCGCGUAGGCGGUCGUGACAAGUCACUUGUGAAAUCUCCGGGCUUAACUCGGAACGGUCAAGUGAUACUGUCGGACUAGAGUACAGAAGGGGCAACUGGAAUUCUCGGUGUAGCGGUGAAAUGCGUAGAUAUCGAGAGGAACACCUGCGGCGAAGGCGGGUUGCUGGGCUGAUACUGAGCUGAGGCGCGAAAAGCGUGGGGGAG
rnacentral:rRNA from 1 species